rnacentral:rRNA from 1 species
UACGGAGGGUGCGAGCGUUAUCCGGAAUUACUGGGUUUAAAGGGUGCGUAGGCGGCUAAGUAAGUCAGGAGUGAAAGUUUGCGGCUCAACCGUAAAAUUGCUUUUGAUACUGCUUAGCUGGAAUUAGGAUGAGGUCAGCGGAAUGUGGCAUGUAGCGGUGAAAUGCAUAGAUAUGCCAUAGAACACCAAUUGCGAAGGCAGCUGGCUAGACCUAUAUUGACGCUGAGGCACGAAAGCGUGGGGAGCGAACAGG